UGAACAUCAGAAUUGGUCCAAUAGAUUGCAUCAGAUUGUACCUUGGAAUCCAUUUAAUAAUUUGAAUCAGAUUCAUUUUUCAAAUGAUCAAAACUGUGCCAAUCCACUAUACGGUUGUGAUGCUGGCUAUUGUUGGUCUGAAUGCGAGUCCGCAUCACAAGUGCAAUCGGAUCCUGAAAGAAGCUCUUCUAGUACAUCAAAAUCGUCGAGCCGAACUUUUACUGGUUGCACUACUAAUCAAGAGUGCGCUGAAAAUAAUCAAAGUGUAAAUUUCAACUAAUUUUAAUCGUGUUAGACCUUUUAAUGGUUAUUAAAGAGUUUCUCAUCUACAAUGCAGUUUUUUUCGAUCAAAACUGUCCAUUCUAAUUGUCAAUAUUUGAUUGACGAGUUAAUUUUUUUUCAAUACUUUUAUAUGAAGAAAUCAAGUUGAAUACUUGUCACUUUUAUAUUAACCCUCUAGCUGGCAAGAUCGAAAAAAUGCGAAUUUUUUAUCAUCAACAUUUUCAAUAAACACUUUUCUUGUGCAGUAAAAAGAUGUAGAUUGAUAAAAAAAAGAACAACAAAUAAAUCAAAACUCAAGUAAACCAUCGAGUUAUUCUUUAUUCCGAUUUGACUCAUGCUUGAACAUUUUUUUUUUCUAAAUCUUUUUUUUUUCAAUCGAUCAACUGCUUCAUCUUAGUGAUACAUGUUUGAUAACGCAAUUGAUGGAAAAAUCUCGACGGAAGAUUGCAACGAAAAAAAUGCAUUUCGAAAGGAGUUGUCAGAUUACUUAGAAGAACCGUUUCAGUUUGUUUUGCUUUAAAUUAAUGUAAUCUUGACAAAUAAAUCUAAUCUUGUUUUUGGAUUUCACAAAUGAUUAUAAACCAUAUCCUCCCAUUGCUUGAUCUGAAAUGUGUCAAGAACUGCAAUAUAUACACAAACAAAGAAUUUAAUGAAGUCGAUUGCAUUCAAAUCAAAGUGCAUUCAAGUCUACAUUAAAAUAUAAAAUAAACAAAAAUGUUUUUUCACACCAAAGUUCGUUGCUACAUUUGUGUUGCCAAUUUUAUGCUUAGUUUUAUUUUAUUUAACAAUACCUAUGCAAAGCCAUCCUCAAACGCAAAGCAAGGUGUUGAAAUGGUCACACUGCCGAUGAAUGGAACAAACCGCCAACAUUGUACGAACGGAAAAUUUGAUUGUAAAGAUGGAUGUUGUUGGGCCGAAUGCAAUGUUCGAAUACAGAACACUACCCAUCUGAUAAUGCGCAGCACUUACAAAAAUUGUCACACUAACGUAGACUACGAGAGCUAUUAUCAACGAUUUUUAGUUGGCAUAAAUUCAUCUAAAUCAGCAAGAGCACAAAUUUUUAACGUUUAUCGUCAAGAUUGAAAACGCCCACUCAGAGCAGUCCAGAUUGACGUCAGUUUCAUUUGAAUUCAAUAGCAGACAAGUUCUAAAAUGUUUUUCUACCGAAAAUUCCUUUUUACACUCGUUGUGCUAGUUUUUUGCCUCGUUUCAUUGAACGGUGUCAACGGAAAACCAAAUUCGAGCACAGAAGAAGACGUCGAAACCGAAAUUGGAGCGGUUGAUCCAUCGGUGAAUGAAAAUACGCAACCAAUUUGUCCCAAACAAUCGAUAAAAUAUGGUUGUGAGAGUAAAUAUUGUUGGUCGCGGUGCGUGAUGAAACAACCAAAAUCGAGCUCAAAAGGAAGAAGUUCCAGUCCAUUGUACUCAGAGUUCCGAACUUCAACUGGUUGCAAUAGUGAUCAACAGUGUCAUAAGUGGGCGAUGGGAGGAUCAUUUCGGCGCAAUGAUGAUGAUGAUGAUGAUGAAUUUUGAAUCAAAAUGUUGGCAUUUUUUCGGCAAUAUUCGAAAAACGACAAUUUAUAAUUUUACCACAAACGUUUUUAGUUCUAAAACUGUUAGUGUUCAAUUAAAGUAAAAUGUUGAAUUUGUUAUUUUAAAUUGAUGUGUUUCAAUAAUCAUUUCAUGCAUUUGAACAAGAAAAUUAGUGAAACGAUAAAGGAAUAAAAAUAAAAUAAACCGUCGACUUAUUCCUUAUCGGAAAUUAUUCUCGCUGCAACACUUACAAUCGGUUCGCAGACUCAUUUUAGUGAUUGAAUUCAUUGUGUUUAUUCACGGGCUAAGUGAUAACCAAUGCAUAGCCCAUAAAUAGAAAUCUCCACUGAAAGUUCCGAAGAAAAAGUGCAUUACAAAUCUAUAUACGGUUUGAAUGGUUUCAAUUUCUUCUUUUCGUCAUGCACCGACACCGACAAUUGUUCCUGAUUUUGUCCUUAGAUUUUCUUUUCAAUUUUGAACCAUUUUUUAUCACCGCUUGAUCUAGCAGUAUGUCAAAAAAUGCAAUAUAAAUAUGCCCGCGAAAGUAAACCAAAAUCGGUUGCAUCCAAGCCUACAAUCAAUCAUAAAGUAAACGAAUAUAUUGUCCAAGCCGAAAUUCGUUUUUGCAAUUGUUGUGCUAGUUCUUUUUGCCUAGUUUCAUUCAAUGAAAUGAUACAAAUACAAAAUCAAUUAUUUAAAAACCGAAUUAUGAUUAAUCUCUAUCGACUUGAUGCUUGCUGCAACGCCUCUUUUAUAUUCCAAUCAGUUUACUGAUUCAUUUAAUUCAAGUUAAAUAAAUGUUCAAAGUAUCAUUAGCUCUGUUCGACUGUAGCCUAAAGAUUGUACUAUCUCCCGUUCUAUAUUUGAAUAUGUUAUUGCGAUAGCUGAUGCACAGAGACAGAUGAAUGAGCCAAGUCUGUUUCCAGCGAAUGUUAAUCAUGAAAAUGACUUCGACCAGUGCGUUUGUUUUAUUGUUGCUGUUCAUCGGUUUUAGCGAUUGUGCAUUUAAUUACAAAACUUUGGAUUGGCUAUUCGGUUCGGACGAAAGUUUCAAUAUCUACGGAGGUUCUAAUCAAAAUUCCGAUGAAAAUGAUGGAUAUUCGAGCUUUGCUAUGAAUAAAAGACAUCCACCAUGUUCUGCUCAAGCUGGUUGUAACAUGGGAGUUUGUUGGAAAAGAUGUGCAAAGGAUACAAUGCAUACAUAUGGUUCUAGAUGUUAAACAAUUGAUGUUCCGAGCUCACCUGAAAUCACAACAAAGUGUAAAAGAAAUUCGGACUGUAAUCCAUGCUGGCCGUGUGACAAAGGAAACAUUUGUGCAUUUUUAUCGAGAAAUUUAUCGAGAACUAACUAUUAAAACAGUACUAGGAAUGAAAGUAAUUGGUAAUUUGAGUGAAAUUAACGUAAUCAAGUGGAUACGAAAAGAUGGGAAAUUUUUGAUGGAAAAAAUUAAAAAUUCGUUUCUUCGUUAAGAAAAAAACAAUCCAAAAAUUGAUAGUGUCAUGAAAAAGUAAAAGAAAAGUCGAAGAUAAAAUAAUAGUCAAAGUACAAUAAAAAUCCAAACAUCUAAAAGAAAACGUCAAGCUUCACUCAUAUCUUCUUGGUUUAUUAUUUUGUGUUCACCACAGUAAAAGAUCAACAUCCACUACUAUGACAUGACAAACAUUUGGAAUGCUACAACAUUGACGGAACAGCCAAAGGGAAUAUAAAUUGAAAAGCAGUAAAAAUUGAGACGCAAUUAAAUCAAUAUCUUGAAAAUGUUGACGCAAUGAACUUUGAUUACAUUGUCAUUUUCAGUUCAAUUCUUAUCAAUACGACUUUAUAUGCAACAUUGAAGGCAAUUUGACUGCAUCGUUAUUGUGCGCACAUCUCGUUCGAUUUCAUUUUAAUGCGUACUUAUUUCUACGUUUACUUUAUUUAGCAAACUGAUGGCGAGAACUAAAAAAGUAUUUAUAUACACAAAAAAACGUUUAUGGCUGGAACUUUCAACGUUCCGAACAGAAAGGCGAAACGUUAUCUUAUUUUGCACCAAUCAAAUCGAUGAAUAUUUCAAUAAAAAGUUGUUUUUCUUAGUUUUUCAA